GUUGAACGCUGGCGGCAUGCCUUACACAUGCAAGUCGAACGGUAACGCGGGGCAACCUGGCGACGAGUGGCGAACGGGUGAGUAAUGCAUCGGAACGUGCCCAGUAGUGGGGGAUAGCUCGGCGAAAGCCGGAUUAAUACCGCAUACGACCUACGGGUGAAAGCGGGGGACCGCAAGGCCUCGCGCUAUUGGAGCGGCCGAUGUCAGAUUAGGUUGUUGGUGAGGUAAAGGCUCACCAAGCCGACGAUCUGUAGCGGGUCUGAGAGGACGACCGGACACACUGGGACUGAGACACGGCCCAGACUCCUACGGGAGGCAGCAGUGGGGAAUUUUGGACAAUGGGGGCAACCCUGAUCCAGCCAUGCCGCGUGCGGGAAGAAGGCCCUCGGGUUGUAAACCGCUUUUGUCAGGGAAGAAAAGCUUCGAGCUAAUACCUCGAGGUAAUGACGGUACCUGAAGAAUAAGCACCGGCUAACUACGUGCCAGCCGCCGCGGUAACAC
rnacentral:rRNA from 1 species